GCCUUUGCUCAGUCAGCAGAACACGAUACUUUUAAUCUUGAGGCUGUGGGUUCAAGCCCCACAUUGCGCA